GGCGACGAUCAGUAGCCGACCUGAGAGGGUGAUCGGCCACAUUGGAACUGAGACACGGUCCAAACUCCUACGGGAGGCAGCAGUGGGGAAUAUUGCACAAUGGGCGAAAGCCUGAUGCAGCAACGCCGCGUGAGUGAUGAAGGCCUUCGGGUCGUAAAACUCUGUCCUCAAGGAAGAUAAUGACGGUACUUGAGGAGGAAGCCCCGGCUAACUACGUGCCAGCAGCCGCGGUAAUACGUAGGGGGCUAGCGUUAUCCGGAUUUACUGGGCGUAAAGGGUGCGUAGGCGGUCUUUCAAGUCAGGAGUGAAAGGCUACGGCUCAACCGUAGUAAGCUCUUGAAACUGGGAGACUUGAGUGCAGGAGAGGAGAGUGGAAUUCCUAGUGUAGCGGUGAAAUGCGUAGAUAUUAGGAGGAACACCAGUUGCGAAGGCGGCUCUCUGGACUGUAACUGACGCUGAGGCACGAAAGCGUGGGGAGCAAACAGGAUUAGAUACCCUGGUAGUCCACGCUGUAAACGAUGAGUACUAGGUGUCGGGGGUUACCCCCUUCG
rnacentral:rRNA from 1 species